GCACUACCGAGGAGUCCAACAUUAGGACGAAACGGUCGUCCAGUAC
rnacentral:hammerhead_ribozyme from 1 species